CGAACGGAGAAUUGCUAGCUUGCUAAUAAUUCUCUAGUGGCGCACGGGUGAGUAACACGUGAGUACCUGCCCCCAAGAGUGGGAUAGCCCCGGGAAACUGGGAUUAAUACCGCAUAAAGCAAUAAAGCAGCAAUGCGCUUGGGGAUGGGCUCGCGUCCUAUUAGUUAGUUGGUGAGGUAACGGCUCACCAAGGCGAUGACGGGUAGCCGGUCUGAGAGGAUGUCCGGCCACACUGGAACUGAGACACGGUCCAGACACCUACGGGUGGCAGCAGUCGAGAAUCAUUCACAAUGGGGGAAACCCUGAUGGUGCGACGCCGCGUGGGGGAUAAGGUCUUCGGAUUGUAAACCCCUGUCAUGUGGGACAUUAAAAGAUAGUACCACAAGAGGAAGAGACGGCUAACUCUGUGCCAGCAGCCGCGGUAAUACAGAGGUCUCAAGCGUUGUUCGGAAUCACUGGGCGUAAAGCGUGCGUAGGCGGUUUCGUAAGUCGUGUGUGAAAGGCGGGGGCUCAACCCCCGGACUGCACAUGAUACUGCGAGACUAGAGUAAUGGAGGGGGAACCGGAAUUCUCGGUGUAGCAGUGAAAUGCGUAGAUAUCGAGAGGAACACUCGUGGCGAAGGCGGGUUCCUGGACAUUAACUGACGCUGAGGCACGAAGGCCAGGGGAGCGA
rnacentral:rRNA from 1 species